UGAGUAUUUAAAUCAUGGAAUUUCUGAAGUUGGAAGGGACUCAGAAAGGCUCUGGUGCAUGGGACACUGCCAGUGACAGCCUGGUGACAACACUCACUCCUUGAAUGGCAGGAAAGCAGAAAAAAGGGUGAAGAAAUGGCCAAAAUUCCAGUUUGGGGAAAAUCAGCACAAGAAAGGCUGGAGUGAUGUCCAGGAAUGGGAACAGCAAACUCUGAGAAACAGUCAGGAUAAUCUCUUGCCUGAAAAGAAAUGGAAAUUCUGUCCUGGUAGGUUUAUCUGUGUAAUUCCAGAGGUUUCAGGGAUGACCUGCCUGACAGGAAUUCUGGGAAAAUCCAGCUCCAAGGAAUGCUGAGGAAGUGCUGCUACUGCUCAGUGUGGGAUUUGCUUUUUGCUGGUCUUGCUAAAACCAGUUCUAUUUCUCUGUGUCCCUAGGUAAGAAAAUGUUCACUUUCCAUCUGAAAUAUGACAGUGAAAGGAGUGGGGUGGGAUGUGGCAUGAAAGGAUAUUUCCAAAGAAAAAGGAUGAAAAAGGGAAAAAACACCUUUGGAUGUGCCCCAAGCCUGAGAGUGGCACAGGAUUUAUAACUUAGGUCUGGGUAGUUGGAAACGAUUUGGGGACAAGGGGGUUGGUGAGAGUUUAUUUAUCUGUGCACCCUGAGUGCAGAAAUUCACUUCUCUCUUCGGAAUUCAUUUAGGAACAAAUAUCACUGAGGAAGAUUUUUAUCUGCAUCACUCUGAAGCAACAAAUCAUUUAUUGCAAGCACUUGAAACGAGAUCUGUGGUGCUUACAUUAAAAAACAAAAGAACAAAGUGAAGCCAUCCCUGUGAACAAAAGAAAAAGAAGUUAUUUCAGCAAAGAGAGAAUUUUAUUUUGACUUCUGAGGUUAUGCAAGAGCUUCAGGAGAAGUGGGACAAGGAUAACAAGGAGGGGAUCGAUAUCCAGAGUUCAAAGGUGCUAAGAGGAGAGGGAGAGUUAAAAAAAAAUCCCAUCCCAGCACAAGCAGGAUGUGGAAUUCUGUUGGAAACUCUUCGACUGCUCAGGAUGAUGGAUUUUCAUGGGAUUUCAUUUUUCCAGUUGGGGCUGGAUCCAGGGUCUCUGUGGGGUGGGACAGACUCCAAGGGGACAACCCCAGGCGGGGCCAAGAGAGUUUCAAGCUGGGAUUUCUCAGUUUGGAUACUGAAAGCUUCUCUCCACUUUGUUAACCUGGCCAAAUCCUGGGCUCUGCUGUGCUUUAGUUGCCACUCAGCUGUGAAGAACAAGAAAUUCUCAACCCCUGGGUGGGCAGCAAGAGCUGCAGGACAAAGCCCUCCCUCCCUGCCCUGUGUCACCUUCCAGAGCUGCUCCAGGCUCUUCUCCUCCUGCCUUUUGCCCUCCCAGAUCAGCUCCUGCCUCCCCAUUCCUCCCUCAGCACUCACAGUCCCCCUCAUUCACUACUGUGGUUUUAAGUAGGUUUUGGAUUUCUUUAGGGUGUACCCAAAAGUGCUGUGAUAUAAUUCCAUGUAUUUGGUGCUCAGAGGGUGAGUGUUUCUCAUUGUUGGCUGAUUCAAGACCUCUUUAAUUAGGCUUUUCCUAUGGUAAGAUUUUGUAAGAGCAGGGAAAGGUGCUUUUAUUUUAUAAUCUCCUUACAACUGCAAAUAUUGAGUGUUAGCAAAACAAACUCCCUUCCUUAGCAAUUAACACCCUUUUAUUUGACAAAGACAGAAUUAGAUGAGAAGAAAGAACAGUGAGGAUAAAAUUAGAAGACAUUGUGGCACACUGGAAAAUAAUGAAAUAAGAAAGUGUGUUUUCUCCUACAAUAGAAAGAGUUUUUCUUUUGAGCCAAAAGUCCCUGUAAUUAAAGCCUAAUUUAUUUCCAGAUAUUCCACUGGUUAUGGAAAUGAAAUCUGACAAUUGUAGUUAACAAUACUCUUCAGAUUCACUCCUAAAUUCAUUCUUAACACAAUUUAAUCACAUUUCUUGUAGCCUAAUCAUCUGUGAGCACAAUUUAAUGUAAGGUUGGGAUAUGUAGACAUUAGGAAGACCCAAAUCAAAAGACCCAUAUUGAAAAAUAUAAAAAAAUCAUCUGAAGUGACUAUUAAAUAAAUAUGAGCUAAUGUGAUUACCUGCUUAGCAGUAAAUGAUGUCAGUAGGUAAACACCGUCUUCAUAUGCAUCUGUUAAAAAGAAAGAGUGAAAGAAAUUAAAUAAAAUGUGUUUGCUGGCUGCCUUAUCUAAUACAUUAUAAAAAUUUCUGUCCACAGACAGCUUACAAAUACAAGGGAUGUAUUUAUAUGUAAAUAAAGAGAAGUUGUGCAUUUCCAGAAGAUGAAUGCUAUUAGACAUAAAAUACUUUUAGUGUAUAUAAAGCUGAAGUGAGGAUAAAAGGAGAACAUUUUAGGGGCAAGAUAUAACAGCAGGCAAAGAAAGAGCACUAGGGAGAUCAGGGCAGUUUAGAUGGGGAGAAAAAUGUUUGUUUGAAACAUUGAAGUAAUGAAGAGUCAUUUCCCACAUCCCCCUCCACUGCCAGGUGACAAUUCCAGGUGACACCUGAGGUGGUGGGGCUGCUGCCUCUCUCAAGUCACUGCUGGUGUUCCCCCAGCACUGCUGGGAUUCUGCUGUCCCUGCCCUCGGAGCAGUGCUGAUCCUGGGCACUGGGGCUCCUGUCCUGCCAUCCCACACUCCUGGAGCAAGAUACUCCACCCAAAUUCCAUUCAUCACCAGUUUUUCCUAAAUUUGGCCAUCCUUUCUGGAUUCCAGUGCUGGCAGAGGGUGUGAAGCACCUCCAGAUCCACCUCCAGCCUCCUGCAAACCCCCACCAGGUCACUGUGCAAGGCACAUUUCCUGCAUUCCUGGUGGGAAUCUCAUUGUUAUUACAAGGGUCAUGCACUCUGGGUGGGGAGGAGAAAUGCCAGCUCAGUGUCUCUUACUGGCAAACAAUUUAAAUUUAGCCAUGUUGAGGAAAUCAGUGAGAGCUCUCACACGAUCUGUGGUUAUGGUUCCCUCAGGUUUGAGGAGGAAUCUUUGUUUUCUGCCUUUCCUCAGGCCCAGGACACGAGGUCAUUUAUACAACAUAUUAAUUCUGUAAAUCACAGCCCGGUGUGGCUUCAAUCAGGAGGAAUCAUGUUUCUGUAAUGUUGGUCUGCAGGUUUCAUUUCAGUUUUGCCUCUGAAGGGGAGUUCAAAUCUGUCCCCCAGAAAUGGCCUUGGCCAAGUCCAUCCCUUCCCUCUGCUCCUCCUCGGACACCCCAGAGUUUGUUCCCUCUCUCCUCAGUUUACAUCCUUGGGUUUGUUUUUUUCUGCUUGAAUUUGGGCUUUGAAUGCCCCCAGGGAUGGAGGCUCACUUGGCAGUGUCCAACCAUUCUCACAGCAAAAAAAGAAGGGUUUUAGGAAGGGGAGAAGGCCUGGACGUACCGAUGCGAACCCCAUCAUCCCAGUAAAGGUGUCCUGCUGCCAUCUGAGAGUCAUCCAGGGCCACCGUGAGUCCCAUCGGGUUUUUCCGGCUGUGAAAAACACAAUUUUCUCUCAAUUCCCUCAGCUAAUCACAUUCCAUAUUCCCCAAAUGGUAAUUUCUUCACAGUGAAGUCAUGUACCACCCAACUGACCUCCCACAGCCAUCUGCCCAUCCCAUACUACUAAAGACCAUUAGGAAAAAAACCCCAAAAAAACACCAAAAAGUCAAAUUAAAUUUAAAUUUUUCACUUCUUCCUACCUGUAAGCAGUUGUAUUGGCAGGUCUUUGCCAAGGCAGGAUGUAGCCACCUCGGAUGUGCAGGUUGAUGUGCUCCAAAGGAGCAGAUAGAUUUUGGAAUUGUUUCCUAAAGCCAGUAUCUGUAUUCUAUGUACAAAAAAAUAAAAUCAUUUUUACAGAGUUUUCCUUCAGAACAAAAAGUAAUAUUUCUCUAGACAGGUUAAUUAGGAGUUGUUACUGCAGGAGUAACUAUUAAUAAGAGAAACCCUGAAAUUUUGGGUCUAUAAAAGGAUGGCCUGACCAUGGGUGAUGGCAGCUGAACCAAAGGGGCCAAGCAGGUGAAACACAAACCUGUGAUUAUUGAAGGGAGUUUUGAUCCUGCUCUUCCUAUUUCCAAAUCUUUUAUUAUUUUCCAGGAAAAAUUAUGCAGCUAAACCUGUUUUUUUCUUUCUUUAUUAGAACAUGCCAUUACAAAAACCUUGUGUGUAUCAUUUGAGGGUUACAAAAAGUGAAAAGAACUCUAAAUUAAAGGUAUUAACUUCGCCUUUUCAUUUAUCAUAACUCUGGUCAUGUUAUUAUACAUUAUUAUAAAGGAAUCGAGGAUUUUUAUUAUUUCUUUUUAUAUUUCUAAGAACUUAUAUUAAAUGCAAAUUAAGCAGGGGAAUGUUCCCACCCCCUGCCACACUCAGCACUGUGGAAAGACAGAAAAUACAAGUUUUAAAAUAGAAUUUUUUUAGGAUGACUUACUGUGUGGUAAUCAUACCAGCGGGCAUCGGGGAAAUAAGCCCUCACACUCCGAUCAUUCUGCAAUUAAACACACAAAUUUUGGGCACCUCACAUGGAAAAGUGAAGCUUAGUUAAACUGACUUUCAGUUGUAAAUAAGCUUAAAAGCUGACCUCUUUCAUCACAGGGCUGAUGAGCAGGGCAGGACCCCAGAGGAACUGCUCGUCGAUGCUCCACGUGGUCCUGUCUCCCACAAACCUGUCAGGAAGAGACAGAGCUGAGCUUUCCCAAAUAAUUCCUCCUUGAAGACCCUUUUAAUUUCAGUAAUUUCACCUACUCUUUCUAGUAUCUCUUUCCUCAUUAUUGCUGUUAAUAAUUAAGAGAUCAAUUAAUGGCUGCACAAAGAUCCUGAUGUGACAUUCAUUAGAGAAAUGCAAGUUUAGUGCUUAGCUUUAGGGGUUUUGGUCCAUUUCUUUGCUUUUGCUUUUCAGUUCAUUGGGACAACAAAACUCUGAAAUUCUUAUGCUUAUUAUUUACAGUAAUAAAAUCUUGGGCAGACUGGGACAGAUUUUUCAAUUUGAGCCACUGUUUUCUGAGCUUCUUUGAAAAAAGCAAAUCACUACAUGCAAAAAGCUCAGUUUUUCCCAGCCCAGACUUGGUAUUUUUAAAUUGAAGGGGGAAAUGCUGUAACGAAGAGACAACUCUGUUGUUAGGGGGUCACAACCAGAGGAGUUUUAAUGGGAAUUCUUGGUGAGGAGAGCAGGGGAGCUGCACUUACUCGUGGAGAACAGGGCGGAUCACGGUGCUGCCGUGGGCAUGGGCAUCGUACAGCAAGGUGUAGAGGUAAGGUAACAGGGUGUAUCUUAUGUUCAGCACGUCCCUGGACAUCUCUUUAAAUUUGUCAUCCCAGGAAGCAGGAUCUUGCCUCUGAAAGAGAAGAGAGUGUUGUUAGAGAAGCUGGGCUGGAUUGCGUGAGGAAGCUAAAAAAACCAAAUCCACGCAGCAAAAUAAACCAAGGAAGUUUGCUCUCUGAAGCAGAGCAUCUUCGUUUAUUUAUUCUUCACGUCAGGAGCAAGUGAAAACUGUGGCUGUCACUGUCAGCCCCAGGAAGGGAACUAGAAAGAGGAAAGCUGAUAAAAACCCAGGGGAAGCAGUAAAAAUGUUUAAUGCAAAGUGUCCCCAAGGUGUGACACGUCCCAGGGUACCUCACCCAUCGGCCCUCUGCUCGCAGCAAGAGUCCGAGGCACCAAGGACUGGUGUCAGGAGAGCCUCAAGUCUUUAUUAAACAUAGGGAACAAUACCUUGGCAAAUUGGGCAGCACUGGAAGCACCACGAUAACCCUGAAUCUGCAUUUUGAAGGCUUUCAGGGCCCGUGGAAGCUGUGUGCUGUGAGAUAAAGCAGCUGCCUUUGAAAAGGAGACUUUAAUCCAUUAGAUAUUUGCCACCUAAAUAGCUCCACUCUGCUAGACCUGAAGCUUUCCCUGGAACACAAGUGCUGUUUCCCUUUUCUGCAUUUUCCCAGUUAUCUUGUUUUACAGCUUUCUCCACUCCACUCCUUAGCCUGCAUUUAGGCAAUUAUUUCCCUUUCCUUUCAGCAGAAAUACAAUAUCUGAUGGUGGCAAACAGGCAGAGCACAGAAAUUCCCGAGUCUCACUCCAGCAUCUUAUUACACUGCCCCAUUUUCUCAUUUGUUGUAUAAUUAUGGGCAAUUAGGGCCGAGAGCACCAAGGUCAGUUCUGUUUCUUGAAGUGUGUUUGCCAUAAAAUCUCCAUUUUAGCCCUGCUGUAGCUCAUUGAAAUCCAAAUAGCACAGAGGGGAAAAUAUGUAGAGUUUGGUUCAGUGAAAGCAAAGUUAGAACGGGCUUCCUUCAAAUGUCCAAAUCCCAGAGCAGCCCCUCUGGGACACAAAACCUCCCAGGUGAUGGGGAGGCUCACAGCAGAGACAGCAUAGACAUAAUGACAGUUUUCAUUUGA